GGUUAAGCGACUAAGCGUACACGGUGGAUGCCUAGGCAGUCAGAGGCGAUGAAGGGCGUGCUAAUCUGCGAUAAGCGUCGGUAAGCUGAUAUGAAGCGUUAUACCCGACGAUACCCGAAUGGGGAAACCCAGUGUGUUUCGACACACUAUCAUUACGUGAAUACAUAGCAUAAUGAGGCGAACCGGGGGAACUGAAACAUCUCAGUACCCCGAGGAAAAGAAAUCAACCGAGAUUCCCCCAGUAGCGGCGAGCGAACGGGGAAGAGCCCAGAACCUGAAUCAGUUUGUGUGUUAGUGGAAGCGUCUGGAAAGUCGCACAGUAAAGGGUGAUAGUCCCGUACACAAAAAUGCACAAGUUGUGAGUUCGAUGAGUAGGGCGGGACACGUGACAUCCUGUCUGAAUAUGGGGGGACCAUCCUCCAAGGCUAAAUACUCCUGACUGACCGAUAGUGAACCAGUACCGUGAGGGAAAGGCGAAAAGAACCCCGGCGAGGGGAGUGAAAUAGAACCUGAAACCGUGUACGUACAAGCAGUGGGAGCACCCUUUGGGGUGUGACUGCGUACCUUUUGUAUAAUGGGUCAGCGACUUAUAUUCUGUAGCAAGGUUAACCGAAUAGGGGAGCCGCAGGGAAACCGAGUCUUAACUGGGCGUUAAGUUGCAGGGUAUAGACCCGAAACCCGGUGAUCUAGCCAUGGGCAGGUUGAAGGUUGGGUAACACUAACUGGAGGACCGAACCGACUAAUGUUGAAAAAUUAGCGGAUGACUUGUGGCUGGGGGUGAAAGGCCAAUCAAACCGGGAGAUAGCUGGUUCUCCCCGAAAGCUAUUUAGGUAGCGCCUCGUGAAUUCAUCUUCGGGGGUAGAGCACUGUUUCGGCUAGGGGGUCAUCCCGACUUACCAACCCGAUGCAAACUACGAAUACCGAAGAAUGUUAUCACGGGAGACACACGGCGGGUGCUAACGUUCGUCGUGAAGAGGGAAACAACCCAGACCGCCAGCUAAGGUCCCAAAGUCAUGGUUAAGUGGGAAACGAUGUGGGAAGGCAUAGACAGCCAGGAUGUUGGCUUAGAAGCAGCCAUCAUUUAAAGAAAGCGUAAUAGCUCACUGGUCGAGUCGGCCUGCGCGGAAGAUGUAACGGGGCUAAACCAUGCACCGAAGCUGCGGCAGCGACACUUAGGUGUUGUUGGGUAGGGGAGCGUUCUGUAAGCCUGCGAAGGUGGCCUGUGAGGGUUGCUGGAGGUAUCAGAAGUGCGAAUGCUGACAUAAGUAACGAUAAUGCGGGUGAAAAACCCGCACGCCGGAAGACCAAGGGUUCCUGUCCAACGUUAAUCGGGGCAGGGUGAGUCGACCCCUAAGGCGAGGCUGAAAAGCGUAGUCGAUGGGAAACAGGUUAAUAUUCCUGUACUGGGUGUUACUGCGAAGGGGGGACGGAGAAAGCUAGGUUAUCCGGGCGACGGUUGUCCCGGUUUAAGCGUGAAGGUGGGUGACUUUGGUAAAUCCGGGUCAUCGUUAACACUGAGGCGUGAUGACGAGUCACUACGGUGAUGAAGUAACUGAUGCUACGCUUCCAGGAAAAGCCUCUAAGCUCCAGGUAACACCGAAUCGUACCCCAAACCGACACAGGUGGUCAGGUAGAGAAUACUCAGGCGCUUGAGAGAACUCGGGUGAAGGAACUAGGCAAAAUGGUGCCGUAACUUCGGGAGAAGGCACGCUGAUGGUAAGUGAAGUGACUUGCUCAUGGAGCUGAAAUCAGUCGAAGAUACCAGCUGGCUGCAACUGUUUAAUAAAAACACAGCACUGUGCAAACACGAAAGUGGACGUAUACGGUGUGACGCCUGCCCGGUGCCGGAAGGUUAAUUGAUGGGGUCAGCCGCAAGGCGAAGCUCUUGAUCGAAGCCCCGGUAAACGGCGGCCGUAACUAUAACGGUCCUAAGGUAGCGAAAUUCCUUGUCGGGUAAGUUCCGACCUGCACGAAUGGCGUAAUGAUGGCCAGGCUGUCUCCACCCGAGACUCAGUGAAAUUGAACUCGCUGUGAAGAUGCAGUGUACCCGCGGCAAGACGGAAAGACCCCGUGAACCUUUACUAUAGCUUGACACUGAACCUUGAGCCUUGAUGUGUAGGAUAGGUGGGAGGCUUUGAAGUGUGGACGCCAGUCUGCAUGGAGCCAACCUUGAAAUACCACCCUUUAAUGUUUGAUGUUCUAACGUAGACCCGUAAUCCGGGUUGCGGACAGUGUCUGGUGGGUAGUUUGACUGGGGCGGUCUCCUCCCAAAGCGUAACGGAGGAGCACGAAGGUUAGCUAAUCCUGGUCGGACAUCAGGAGGUUAGUGCAAAGGCAUAAGCUAGCUUGACUGCGAGAGUGACAGCUCGAGCAGGUGCGAAAGCAGGUCUUAGUGAUCCGGUGGUUCUGAAUGGAAGGGCCAUCGCUCAACGGAUAAAAGGUACUCCGGGGAUAACAGGCUGAUACCGCCCAAGAGUUCAUAUCGACGGCGGUGUUUGGCACCUCGAUGUCGGCUCAUCACAUCCUGGGGCUGAAGUAGGUCCCAAGGGUAUGGCUGUUCGCCAUUUAAAGUGGUACGCGAGCUGGGUUUAGAACGUCGUGAGACAGUUCGGUCCCUAUCUGCCGUGGGCGUUGGAAGAUUGAGAGGGGUUGCUCCUAGUACGAGAGGACCGGAGUGAACGCACCACUGGUGUACGGGUUGUGAUGCCAAUUGCAUUGCCCGGUAGCUAAGUGCGGAAGAGAUAACCGCUGAAAGCAUCUAAGCGGGAAACUUGCCUCGAGAUGAGUCUUCCCUGGACACUUGAUGUCCCUGAAGGGCCGUUGAAGACGACGACGUAGAUAGGCUGGGUGUGUAAGCGUAGCGAUACGUUGAGCUAACCAGUACUAAUGACCCGAGAGGCUUAACCU
rnacentral:rRNA from 1 species